GGUCCCUUCAGGUCUUUUCUUUUCUCCGUUCAAGUCCAACUUUUGGCAUCAAAAAUUUGUUUUUUAUUUAAAACAUUUAAAUUAUAAUGAAAAAUGGACAUUUACAAUUAAUAAAAUUCCAACUUGAAGAAAUUCGAUCCAAUAAAUAAAAAAGUUAUACAAUUUGAAUAAUUUUAGUCGUAUUCUUUCAGGUCUUUUCAGGUCCACUUUC
rnacentral:lncRNA from 1 species